AACGCACGAGACCUGCGGACCUGCGGAGGGAUCAUUACCAAACGUGUGUGAUGUGCUGUGCAUGCAUGCUGUGCAAGUGUGUGUGUGCGUGUGUAUAUUAUACGAUUUUCAUUGUUGUAUAUUAUAUAUGCGCACGCACGCACGCCACGUGCUGCACACCUUCUCUUCAGGGCGGCGUCGGGGUGCGAACCACCCGGCCGCCCGUCGACAACCCUUGUGCAAUGUACCUUGCCCAUGGAC
rnacentral:misc_RNA from 1 species